AUUGAACGCUGGCGGCAUGCCUUACACAUGCAAGUCGAACGGCAGCACGGGAGCAAUCCUGGUGGCGAGUGGCGAACGGGUGAGUAAUAUAUCGGAACGUGCCCAGUCGUGGGGAUAACGUAGCGAAGGCUACGCUAAUACCGCAUACGAUCUAUGGAUGAAAGCGGGGGAUCGCAAGACCUCGCGCGAUUGGAGCGGCCGAUAUCAGAUUAGGUAGUUGGUGAGGUAAAGGCUCACCAAGCCGACGAUCUGUAGCUGGUCUGAGAGGACGACCAGCCACACUGGGACUGAGACACGGCCCAGACUCCUACGGAGGCAGCAGUGGGAAUUUUGGACAAUGGACGCAAGUCUGAUCCAGCCAUUCCGCGUGCAGGAUGAAGGCCCUCGGGUGUAAACUGCUUUUGUACGGAACGAAAAGGUUUCUCUUAAUAACGAGGAGCUCAUGACGGUACCGUAAGAAUAAGCACCGGCUAACUACGUGCCAG
rnacentral:rRNA from 1 species